rnacentral:misc_RNA from 1 species
GAUGAAGAACGCAGCGAAAUGCGAUAAGUAAUGUGAAUUGCAGAAUUUAGUGAAUCAUCGAAUCUUUGAACGCACAUUGCGCCCGCCAGUAUUCUGGCGGGCAUGCCUGUCUGAGCGUCAUUUCAACCCUCAUGCCCCUAGGGCGUGGUGUUGGGGAUCGGCCAAAGCCCGCGAGGGACGGCCGGCCCCUAAAUCUAGUGGCGGACCCGUCGUGGCCUCCUCUGCGAAGUAGUGAUAUUCCGCAUCGGAGAGCGACGAGCCCCUGCCGUUAAACCCCCAACUUUCCAAGGUUGACCUCAGAUCAGGUAGGAAUACCCGCUGAACUUAAGCAUAUCAAUAAGCGGAGGA